rnacentral:rRNA from 1 species
GACGAACGCUUGCGGCGUGCUUAACACAUGCAAGUCGAACGGAAAGGCCCUGCUUUUGUGGGGUGCUCGAGUGGCGAACGGGUGAGUAACACGUGAGUAACCUGCCCUUGACUUUGGGAUAACUUCAGGAAACUGGGGCUAAUACCGGAUAGGAGCUCCUGCUGCAUGGUGGGGGGUUGGAAAGUUUCGGCGGUUGGGGAUGGACUCGCGGCUUAUCAGCUUGUUGGAGGGGUAGUGGCUUACCAAGGCUUUGACGGGUAGCCGGCCUGAGAGGGUGACCGGCCACAUUGGGACUGAGAUACGGCCCAGACUCCUACGGGAGGCAGCAGUGGGGAAUAUUGCACAAUGGGCGGAAGCCUGAUGCAGCAACGCCGCGUGCGGGAUGACGGCCUUCGGGUUGUAAACCGCUUUCGCCUGUGACGAAGCGUGAGUGACGGUAAUGGGUAAAGAAGCACCGGCUAACUACGUGCCAGCAGCCGCGGUGAUACGUAGGGUGCGAGCGUUGUCCGGAUUUAUUGGGCGUAAAGGGCUCGUAGGUGGUUGAUCGCGUCGGAAGUGUAAUCUUGGGGCUUAACCCUGAGCGUGCUUUCGAUACGGGUUGACUUGAGGAAGGUAGGGGAGAAUGGAAUUCCUGGUGGAGCGGUGGAAUGCGCAGAUAUCAGGAGGAACACCAGUGGCGAAGGCGGUUCUCUGGGCCUUUCCUGACGCUGAGGAGCGAAAGCGUGGGGAGCGAACAGGCUUAGAUACCCUGGUAGUCCACGCUGUAAACGGUGGGUACUAGGUGUGGGGUCCAUUCCACGGGUUCCGUGCCGUAGCUAACGCUUUAAGUACCCCGCCUGGGGAGUACGGCCGCAAGGCUGAAACUCAAAGGAAUUGACGGGGCCCCGCACAAGCGGCGGAGCAUGCGGAUUAAUUCGAUGCAACGCGUAGAACCUUACCUGGGUUUGACAUGGAUCGGGAGUGCUCAGAGAUGGGUGUGCCUCUUUUGGGGUCGGUUCACAGGUGGUGCAUGGCUGUCGUCAGCUCGUGUCGUGAGAUGUUGGGUUAAGUCCCGCAACGAGCGCAACCCUUGUUCACUGUUGCCAGCACGUUAUGGUGGGGACUCAGUGGAGACCGCCGGGGUCAACUCGGAGGAAGGUGGGGAUGACGUCAAGUCAUCAUGCCCCUUAUGUCCAGGGCUUCACGCAUGCCACAAUGGCUGGUACAGAGAGUGGCGAGCCUGUGAGGGUGAGCGAAUCUCGGAAAGCCGGUCUCAGUUCGGAUUGGGGUCUGCAACUCGACCUCAUGAAGUCGGAGUCGCUAGUAAUCGCAGAUCAGCAACGCUGCGGUGAAUACGUUCCCGGG